rnacentral:rRNA from 1 species
AGGAUUAACGCUGGCGGCGUGCCUAACACAUGCAAGUCGAACGAGGUAGCAAUACCUAGUGGCAGACGGGUGAGUAGCGCGUGGUCAACCUACCGUUGAGUGGGGGAUAACUAGCCGAAAGGUUAGCUAAUACCGCAUACGUCUCCGAGGAGCAUCCCUUGGCGAUAAAAGGAGCAAUCCGCUCGAUGACGGGACCGCGUCCCAUUAGCUAGUUGGUGGGGUAACGGCCUACCAAGGCAUCGAUGGGUAGCUGGUUUGAGAGAGCGACCAGCCACACUGGGACUGAGAUACGGCCCAGACUCCUACGGGAGGCAGCAGUGAGGAAUUUUCCGCAAUGGGCGAAAGCCUGACGGAGCGACGCCGCGUGUGGGAAGAAGGCCUUCGGGUCGUAAACCACUGUCGAAGGGGAAGAUAAUGACGGUACCCUUGGAGGAAGCCCGGCUAACUACGCGCCAGCAGCCGC